CCCUAGCCCUGAUAGAAGUGAAAAUCCUUUUUUGUUUUUUCUUUAAAAACAAAAAGAUUGAAACGGAUAGCAGGAAACAGC
rnacentral:sRNA from 1 species